UCAAGUCACAUAUUAUCAUCAUGAAAGUUUUCUCAUUGUGGUAGUAACAAAUUGCAAAUCCAUUUUCUCAACAUGUUAUUAAUUCAUGGUGAUGGCGAAUGUUUUAAAAUUAUUGGCUUAAUUCAUUCAGGUUUUUUUUUUAUUUUUUAAUUCUACUGAUCUAUUCAUUGAUAAUUGCACACGUCUAUAAUGUUCUUAAGAGUUUUUUAAAUGUGUCUGGAUAGUUUUUAUUUACUUUUUGUUUUGUGAAUCAUGUUUCAGAGAGUAACUAGUUGUUCAACAAAGCAUUCACUUCCCAGCCCAGCUCACAGCUAGGCUUUACUCUGCAGCCUGCGGUACAGUGACACAUGGCUACCUGACCAAACUCCAGUCACAGGUCUGCAUAUGCUACAACUGGAAUGAAGCCUUCUGUGGAGGUCGAAAGUAUAACUACUCCAAAUGAAAGGAAUCGCAGCUGUGGGACAUCCACAGGCUUCUUUAAGAGAAACCCCAUGAACAGACAAGGCUAUGAGGACUGUACACCUAAUUUUUUAUAGGCACCUUCGUCACAGGGUGAUGGGAUAAGUUCUGUUUUUUGUUAUGAUAAAAUGCAUGUAGCAUAGAGUUCAGCAGUUUUACCCACGCAAAAGGUAGAAUCUGGUGUCACAGUUGCAUUCAAACACUUUGCUGCCAUCCACACUAUAUAUGUCUGAAAAAUGGGUUCUUUACACCCCAUUAUCCACCUCAUCCACACUUCCUUUUUAAAAGGCUGUGCAUUUAUCUUCAAUAUCUAGUACUUUUUGAUUUAAACAUUCAUAAACUCUCUAGAAAAAUCACUGUCAUUUUGUAUUAAUUCAAAAUGUACAAUCACCACUAAGUCUAAUAACUAAAAUAAAAUU